GAUGAAGAACGCAGCGAAAUGCGAUAAGUAAUGUGAAUUGCAGAAUUCAGUGAAUCAUCGAGUCUUUGAACGCACAUUACGCCCCCUGGUAUUCCGGGGGGCAUGCCUGUCCGAGCGUCAUUGCCGCCCUCAAGCACGGCUUGUGUGUUGGGCCCCCGCCCCCCGGCUUCGGGGGGCGGGCCCGAAAGGCAGCGGCGGCACCGCGUCCGGUCCUCGAGCGUAUGGGGCUUCGUCACCCGCUCUGUAGGCCCGGCCGGCGCCCGCCGGCGACCCCAAUCAAUCUUUCCAGGUUGACCUCGGAUCAGGUAGGGAUACCCGCUGAACUUAAGCAUAUCAAUAAGCGGAGGA
rnacentral:misc_RNA from 1 species